CUUCCCGCACCGCAACACAGUGGAACUUAACGUACCUCAACUGCCGCAAAGAAGGGGCGCUACAGUUUGGGGCCGAGAAAAAGUUUGCUGACCCCUGGACUAGAGCAACACCUUCAUUUUAUAUGCGAGGAAAAUGAGGCCCAGGGAGGUUAACAAAAGAUCCCGCAUGGUAAUAUGCGGGUUUUUAUUCCAAACCCAGCAGCCCCAUGAUAAUGGCCAAAGAUGUUCCCAGUUUACAGAUAGAGAAACCUGGGCACAGAGAGGAUAAAUAACUUGCCACGGUUAUGAAGCUAAUAAGUGGAAGAGCCAGGUUUUAAAACAAUGCAGCUUGGCUCCAGAGUCCAGGUUUUUAACUACUACAGUCUAUCCUGUCUGUAUGCAUUAGAAAAAGCAGAUACUGGAAUUACUUCCAUGCAGAUCUGGAUAUGAGAUACCAAGAAGUGGAAUUGCUGGGAUAUAUGUUCAGAUUGACCUUCAGUUUACUGAACAGCUUUGAAGAGCAACUUUUCAUUAGAGAAGACUGCCCUGAUAGCCUUCCUACCAUCAUCCAAACUCCCAGGAUUCCUGGAAGGCCAAGGAGUCAAGGUCGGCUGUAUGCACAGGCUAGUCUCAAGACCUGAUCCUCUUACCUGAUAACAGGCGAUUCCCAGUCCUAGCCAGAUAUAUCUGCCCCAGUCGCAGGAAGAUGAAGUGCAUCUCAGAAGCAUCCACUACAAAACUAAUGGUUCGCUCAUAGCACGCCUUGGCCUCAGCAUGAUUUCCACUCAGAAAAUAGAGAUGGCCCUUCACGCCCCAGACAUUAGGGUUCUAAGAAAGUGAAGAACAAGUAGUACACGGAAUGAGGUGGUAUUUAAAAGUACAUUAAUGAUCUUUGUUUAACAUUUAAAUUUACAUGAAGUCCAUGUUCUUUUGCAAAUUAGAAAGAAGGCCAUUCAGUUGCACUGGGAGAUACUGUUCUAGGACUGCCCUUUCAUUUUUUUCUUGCAUUCUUCAAAGCCAUUUUGUCUUUGGGGAAAAUAUUAAGAAAAAUAUUCAUGCAUAACCAUGAUGAUGUUCACAAUGAGAAAGGAGAAGUUCAGGAAACUUGAAAUAGAUAAGGUGUCUGCUAAAGAGCUGUCCUUAUCCUUUCUCUGUCCUUUGUAAAAGUCAUGAUUGAUUAAGAAAAACAAAUGGAAGGAAAUUAGAUAAAUGAGUUUACCAACAGCUGAUAACCCCCAGCUUUGAUAACCAGAAAUCUACCUGUGAUAUGGCAUCACCACCUUUAAGAAGGCCUACUUGUCCCUUCUCCAAACUAAACUUAAGACGCUCUAGCAAAAGUUAUUACCAGGUAGUCCAUCUGGGCUGCUUGUUGAAGGUAUUCCUCUGCUUUAGCAAAAUCCUUCUUGAGUAGGUGUGUCUGGGCCAGCACCAAGUAAUACUCACAGCUGGGGCCUCCAUGAGGGCAUAGUAGCUCAUGUGCAAGCACUCUGUGUACAUACUGCAAGGAAAAAUCAGAUUAUAAGAAACAUGUAAAUGACUGCAUGGUGUCAAUUCCAUAGCUCUCACGGUUGAAGAUUAUGUCUCUGAUAAUAAAUAAUAAAGACAAUAUUAUAGAAUGAAAUGAUUAUCAAUUUCAAAAGGUUAGAGGUGAAUUAUAAACAUUCAGCAUAUCAUGGUUCCGUUACCAGCUAUUCAUGUAGUAACAUUUCCAAGUGAAUUAUCUACAGUACUGUAUAAUUCUGGUCUUGCUGGUCAUACUAGAUGAGUUUUAGCCUAUUGUGUAGCAGACAAAGGCAUUUCAUCAACCACCCCAUUUUCAUACGAGGUAACAUUUUCAGGCAUUUGUAUUUAUAAGGAAACUUAGAGUGAGGCAAAACCUCCCUUUCUAAAAUUCUAGACUCAGGAUCUUAGAAACAUAAAUGUUUGUUUCUGACACACUCUCAAGCAUUUGUUAUGUUCACCAGUUUUAUACUUUGGGCUAUACUUUGUUUUUAAUAUGAUAUAAGGCCUGCAAAUUUGACAAAGUCAUAGGUACUUGCUAAGAAGAGGGGAAACCCUUCUUCUCCCUCUGUUCUCAUCUCAGCCUAUAAUAUAGAAACUUCCACUAAUAAUGAUACCUUCUUAGGAAAAUACUGGGGGGGAGGCUCUGCAGCUGUUCCCUCAACCUGCGUUCUGACUCUUGGACAUGGGGGAAAAGUGAUUUAUUUAAUUAGGGAGACAGAGAGCCUGUUUCUCUAUUGUGAAAGGUUAGUAUAUUAAAGCCUCCUGUUUAAUGUGGCCCACUCCCACCUAGUUCAUAAUUCUUGCCCUAUCUUGAGUUGGCCACCCUCAAGUGGGGCAUGCACUCUAUAGGUUGAGGGCCAAAUCUCUUGCCUCCUGGAUCUUGCUCUCUUACUGCUCGCUUCAUGGAUAUGUUUCUAAUUUCCUAUGUGGUAGGUAGACCUUACAGGAUGCUCUUCUUCUCUGGGAGGAGACUUCAAUUCUCCAUCUGUUCCACCUGUGACUGCAUGGGUAAAUCAAAUCUGGGACCAGUCACAUAUCCAGCCCAGUUAUACCAAAAAAAAUUAGUAUUUUUAUCCCCCCAUAUAGCACUGUGUAUCUGUUUCCAAUUGGUUCAGAACCUGGAAGGGAAGAAGGGUGUGCUUAGGCUCCUGUGAACCCACAACACUCAUAUAACAUGAGUUCCCAUAAUAAAGUAACAUCAGGCUA